rnacentral:rRNA from 1 species
CCUACGGGUGGCAGCAGUGGGGAAUAUUGCACAAUGGGGGAAACCCUGAUGCAGCGACGCCGCGUGAGUGAAGAAGUAUUUCGGUAUGUAAAGCUCUAUCAGCAGGGAAGAAAAUGACGGUACCUGAUUAAGAAGCCCCGGCUAACUACGUGCCAGCAGCCGCGGUAAUACGUAGGGGGCAAGCGUUAUCCGGAUUUACUGGGUGUAAAGGGGGCGUAGACGGCAGCACAAGUCUGGAGUGAAAUGCCCGGGCUUAACCCCGGAACUGCCUUGGAAACUGUGCAGCUAGAGUGCAGGAGAGGUACGUGGAAUGCGUGGUGUAGCGGUGAAAUGCGUAGAUAUUAGGAAGAACACCAGUGGCGAAGGCGGCUUACUGGACUGUAACUGACGUUGAGGCACGAAAGCGUGGGGAGCAAACAGGAUUAGAUACCCGUGUAGUC